rfam:Ovis aries breed Texel chromosome 9, whole genome shotgun sequence.
UCCCUUGUGGCUCAGCUGGUAAAGAAUCCACCUGCAAUGUGGGAGACCUGAGUUCGAUUCCUAGCUUGGGAA